rnacentral:rRNA from 1 species
AACGCUAGCUACAGGCUUAACACAUGCAAGUCGAGGGGCAUCAGGAAGAAAGCUUGCUUUCUUUGCUGGCGACCGGCGCACGGGUGAGUAACACGUAUCCAACCUGCCCUUUACUCGGGGAUAGCCUUUCGAAAGAAAGAUUAAUACCCGAUGGCAUAAUGAUUCCGCAUGGUUUCAUUAUUAAAGGAUUCCGGUAAAGGAUGGGGAUGCGUUCCAUUAGGUUGUUGGUGAGGUAACGGCUCACCAAGCCUUCGAUGGAUAGGGGUUCUGAGAGGAAGGUCCCCCACAUUGGAACUGAGACACGGUCCAAACUCCUACGGGAGGCAGCAGUGAGGAAUAUUGGUCAAUGGGCGCUAGCCUGAACCAGCCAAGUAGCGUGAAGGAUGAAGGCUCUAUGGGUCGUAAACUUCUUUUAUAUAAGAAUAAAGUGCAGUAUGUAUACUGUUUUGUAUGUAUUAUAUGAAUAAGGAUCGGCUAACUCCGUGCCAGCAGCCGCGGUAAUACGGAGGAUCCGAGCGUUAUCCGGAUUUAUUGGGUUUAAAGGGAGCGUAGGUGGACUGGUAAGUCAGUUGUGAAAGUUUGCGGCUCAACCGUAAAAUUGCAGUUGAUACUGUCAGUCUUGAGUACAGUAGAGGUGGGCGGAAUUCGUGGUGUAGCGGUGAAAUGCUUAGAUAUCACGAAGAACUCCGAUUGCGAAGGCAGCUCACUGGACUGCAACUGACACUGAUGCUCGAAAGUGUGGGUAUCAAACAGGAUUAGAUACCCUGGUAGUCCACACAGUAAACGAUGAAUACUCGCUGUUUGCGAUAUACAGUAAGCGGCCAAGCGAAAGCAUUAAGUAUUCCACCUGGGGAGUACGCCGGCAACGGUGAAACUCAAAGGAAUUGACGGGGGCCCGCACAAGCGGAGGAACAUGUGGUUUAAUUCGAUGAUACGCGAGGAACCUUACCCGGGCUUAAAUUGCAGUGGAAUGAUGUGGAAACAUGUCAGUGAGCAAUCACCGCUGUGAAGGUGCUGCAUGGUUGUCGUCAGCUCGUGCCGUGAGGUGUCGGCUUAAGUGCCAUAACGAGCGCAACCCUUAUCUUUAGUUACUAACAGGUUAUGCUGAGGACUCUAGAGAGACUGCCGUCGUAAGAUGUGAGGAAGGUGGGGAUGACGUCAAAUCAGCACGGCCCUUACGUCCGGGGCUACACACGUGUUACAAUGGGGGGUACAGAAGGCAGCUAGCGGGUGACCGUAUGCUAAUCCCAAAAGCCUCUCUCAGUUCGGAUCGAAGUCUGCAACCCGACUUCGUGAAGCUGGAUUCGCUAGUAAUCGCGCAUCAGCCACGGCGCGGUGAAUACGUUCCCGGGCCUUGUACACACCGCCCGUCAAGCCAUGGGAGCCGGGGGUACCUGAAGUACGUAACCGCAAGGAUCGUCCUAGGGUAAAACUGGUGACUGGGGCUAA